CGCACACCUGCUUUAAUGACUUCAAACUACUUUCACAGGACUCCCUCUACCCCACAGCCACCAGCCUGAGGACGUGUCUCGUCUCCCGGUUUGUAGGAGCUCCAG